rnacentral:rRNA from 1 species
AUACGUAGGUGGCAAGCGUUGUCCGGAAUUAUUGGGCGUAAAGCGCAUGUAGGCGGUUUGGUAAGUCGGUCGUGAAAAUGCGGUGCUUAACGCCGUAUGGCGAUCGAAACUGCUGAACUUGAGUGCAGGCGAGGAAAGGGGAACUCCCAGUGUAGCGGUGAAAUGCGUAGAUAUUGGGAAGAACACCGGUGGCGAAGGCUCCUUUCUGGACUGUGUCUGACGCUCAGAUGCGAAAGCCAGGGUAGCGAACGGGAUUAGAUACCCCGGUAGUCCUGGCCGUAAACGAUGGGUACUAGGUGUGGGAGGUAUCGACUCCUUCCGUGCCGGAGUUAACGCAAUAAGUACCCCGCCUGGGGAGUACGGCCGCAAGGAUUAAACUCAAAGGAAUUGACGGGGG